rfam:Paracoccidioides sp. &apos;lutzii&apos; Pb01 unplaced genomic scaffold supercont2.8, whole genome shotgun sequence.
GAGGGACUGGCAGAAGGGUAAUGCGUAGCUCUCCUACCCAUUGGACAAAGGAAAACCUAUAUAGGUGGUCCGGGACCAAGCUAAGCUAAGAUUGUGGGUUCGAGUCCCACGUUCCUCG